GCAAUCGCUGCAGCCUGCGAGCGAGACAAUGAUGAUAUCGGCAAUACUCGGAAUCUAUCUCUUCUUUGUUGAUUUUUGGCCCACGAGUGCUACCUUCAUUUCUGAAAUUAUCCGCACUGGCACGGCAAUCGAAUGGCCUCAGAGCAAUCGCUGCAGCCUGCGGCUAUUAUUGCAGAAAUCCGAUCCAUACAAUGUUCAUCAUACCUCUUUGCUUUGGGGGAAGAAGCUGCGAAUCUGAGCCUUGCAUUAUGUUU
rnacentral:lncRNA from 1 species